UACGUAGGGACCAAGCGUUGUCCGGAUUUAUUGGGCGUAAAGAGCUCGUAGGCGGUUUCGUAAGUCAGAAGUUAAAACAUCAGGCUCAACCUGGUGUCGCUUUUGAUACUGCGAUGACUUGAGUGUGGCAGGGGAAGACAGAAUUCCACGUGUAGCGGUGAAAUGCGCAGAUAUGUGGAGGAAUACCGAUGGCGAAGGCAGUCUUCUGGGCCAUUACUGACGCUGAGGAGCGAAAGCGUGGGGAGCGAACAGG
rnacentral:rRNA from 1 species